AGCCAGUCGUCGCAUUAGAGGAUCACAUGGAGCAGAAACUCCACCCAGCCUGAACGUUUCCAAUAAAUUUAUAGCAGCCGUCAAACAUCGAGGCGCCUUUUUGGCUCCGUGCUGCGUCUGAAUCGUUUCUGCUGCUGCUGAUAGAUUAUCAGAAUAUUUCAGGCCGGCUGAAGGAGCCGCCGCUCGUUACUCAUCGCAAACACAGGAAAUAAACGACGAUUAGCGUAACAACGCUGGGGAGACGCUGACAGGGGCCUCUCAUAUCCACAACUCAGUUCAGCAGGAACCUGAAGUUUGUCAGCCAUGUUCACCUGAACCCUGCAGAGAACAGGUGACGCCGAGCUGCUCGAUAUCGACUGAAAGAGGUUUGGGCUGCACACACACCGGACACAGCCAUCCUGGCAGCGUACAGAUGCAUCUCACCUUGAGCAGUCGAGCA